AGGUAUUUUUUGACGUUGAACGAAAAAGGAAAUUGAUAUACACUCCGUAGGAACUUGCACACACAAAGGCGAAAGGUUAGCCUGGAACUACAUAGAGAGCAUGGCUAGCUGUGGAGCUCUUAUAGGAUUCCAGAGUUCUAUGUAUACGGAUGAAGAUUUGUUGGGUUAUGUUGUGGGUUGCUAUUUUGAGCUUAUGACCUAUUGUGUUGUACGUUGGGGAUCAUGUGUUGUACAUCUUUUGACAUGACAUGUAGACUUGUUUAUAAUCUCAGCAUAUAUAUGUUUGAUUAUGGCGA